UACGUAGGGUGCAAGCGUUGUCCGGAAUUAUUGGGCGUAAAGAGCUUGUAGGCGGUUUGUCGCGUCUGCUGUGAAAUUUCGGGGCUCAACCCCGAACUUGCAGUGGGUACGGGCAGACUAGAGUGUGGUUGGGGAGACUGGAAUUCCUGGUGUAGCGGUGAAAUGCGCAGAUAUCAGGAGGAACACCGAUGGCGAAGGCAGGUCUCUGGGCCACUACUGACGCUGAGAAGCGAAAGCAUGGGGAGCGAACAGG
rnacentral:rRNA from 1 species